rnacentral:lncRNA from 1 species
CACCUCCACCACCACCAUACUACUACCACUCUCCUCCUCCUCCAGUCAAAUCACCACCGCCACCGUACUACUACCACUCCCCGCCUCCUCCGGUGAAAUCCCCACCACCACCAUAUUACUACCACUCACCACCUCCACCGGUGAAAUCUCCACCACCACCAUACUAUUACCACUCACCACCUCCUCCGGUGAAGUCUCCUCCACCACCAUACUACUAUCACUCUCCACCACCACCGGUGAAAUCUCCUCCUCCUUACUAUUAUCAUUCUCCACCUCCUCCGGUGAAAUCUCCUCCACCACCGUACUACUACCAUUCUCCACCUCCUCCAGUCAAGUCUCCACCACCACCGUACUACUAUCAUUCACCACCUCCUCCGGUGAAAUCUCCACCACCACCAUACUAUUACCACUCACCACCCCCACCUGUGAAAUCUCCUCCUCCACCAUACUACUAUCACUCACCUCCUCCUCCGGUGAAAUCUCCACCACCACCAUACUAUUACCAUUCACCACCCCCUCCAGUCAAAUCUCCUCCUCCACCAUACUACUACCACUCACCACCUCCUCCAGUGAAAUCUCCACCACCACCAUACUAUUACAACUCUCCACCACCACCGGUGAAAUCUCCUCCACCUCCAGUCUACAUCUACGCUUCUCCCCCACCUCCCACCCAUUACUAGGCUCAUCAAAUUCAACCAAAUUUCCCCAUUAUUCAAGUAAGUCCCCACGGUCCAAAACGUUCAAGUUACUCUUUAUCACCCACUUCAAUAUUACUUUGUCCUAAAAUCUCAGUUUCUUUCUUCACAGGU